AACGAACGCUGGCGGCAGGCUUAACACAUGCAAGUCGAGCGGACCCUUCGGGGUCAGCGGCGGACGGGUGAGUAACGCGUGGGAACGUGCACUUUCCUCCGGAAUAGCCCUGGGAAACCGGGAGUAAUGCCGGAUACGCCCUUUGGCAGCGAUGCCAUUGGGGAAAGAUUUAUCGGGGAAGGAUCGGCCCGCGUUGGAUUAGGUAGUUGGUGGGGUAACGGCCUACCAAGCCGACGAUCCAUAGCUGGUUUGAGAGGAUGAUCAGCCACACUGGGACUGAGACACGGCCCAGACUCCUACGGGAGGCAG
rnacentral:rRNA from 1 species